GGCAAGAUGGCCGAGCGGUCCAAGGCGUGCGGUUAAGGUCCGCAUCUCGAAAGGGGCGUGGGUUCGAAUCCCACUCUUGUCA